GACAAGCACAGCCGUGUUUAGAUGAUGGAGCUGCAGCGGUGAGAGCGGGACUGACGAGGCCGACACACCGGGGAAAGAACGCUCCGUGUGGGGGGGGGACAACAGCACGGUCGGCGCUCACCCUCCAGUGCAGAAUAUAAACACCAUCAGCGACGCUGUUAUCAUCAGUCUUCUGUGCACUCCCGUGAGCUCGGAAGAUACACCUUUAACUGACAGCGAUGCAGGCUUUAUGUGGAGGUCCAGCUGAAUAACCGGGACUUACUCCGAGCUGCAGGAGGGAGCGGACACUCUCGCUGGAGAUGGACUCCAGAUGCUGCAGCAGCCAGCGUGACGUCCCGACAAAAUGCUGUCAGUGACAGCAGGAGCCGACGCACGGUAACCUGCAGCCCAGGCCUCUGUUUGAUAUGUGCCGGAUGAGUAACAGGAGUGUCUGGUGAGGAAAGAUGUGUUUGACAAGCUCACAAAUUAACAGCUGUAAUAGUAGCAGAUGUUUAUGUUGUGUAGCGGGACUGUGUGGUGUUUAGGGGUUGAUUCUGUUAGCGUGUGCUCUGCUGAUGCUCGGAUAAAGUGUGUGUCUGUGUCUCUGUGUGUGUGUGUGUGUGUGUGUGUGUGUGUGUGUGUGUGUGAUGUGUGAUGGGUGGAGUACCCAUCAACAAGUCAUUUCAUUCUGAAGAUGUACAGCUCCCAGAUAAAACCAGAAGCUGCUGCACAAAGCUCAUUUUCAUUCUCAGCCUCACUUCCUGUUCGAUGGUAUGACAGUAGAUUUAAUCUCGGUGCAAAUUCACUUUUUGUGAUCUUUUGUAGUAAAUGUCUUCAGGUUCAUCCUCCAGAGCUAAAAGGCCUCAUAAACUCUCAACUCUUGUGCUGGAUAUUGUGUUUGAACUGUGAAGCAGCAGCAACACAAUCCCCUAUAGAACAUGUCUGGCUGCAGGUGCGGAUAUUUUUAUUUAUACCUCAAACCCACUGAGACGCGUCGGCUGCAUGUAAUUAAAGAGACGUUUA